AUUGAACGCUGGCGGCAUGCCUUACACAUGCAAGUCGAACGGCAGCGCGGGAGCAAUCCUGGCGGCGAGUGGCGAACGGGUGAGUAAUACAUCGGAACGUGCCCAAUCGUGGGGGAUAACGCAGCGAAAGCUGUGCUAAUACCGCAUACGAUCUACGGAUGAAAGCAGGGGAUCGCAAGACCUUGCGCGAAUGGAGCGGCCGAUGGCAGAUUGGGUAGUUGGUGAGGUAAAGGCUCACCAAGCCUUCGAUCUGUAGCUGGUCUGAGAGGACGGCCAGCCACGCUGGGACUGAGACACGGCCCAGACUCCUGCGGGAGGCAGCAGUGGGGAAUUUUGGGCAAUGGGCGGAAGCCUGAUCCAGCCAUGCCGCGUGCAGGAUGAAGGCCUUCGGGUUGUAAACUGCUUUUGUACGGAACGAAACGGCCUUUUCUAAUAAAGAGGGCUAAUGACGGUACCGUAAGAAUAAGCACCGGCUAACUACGUGCCAGCCGCCGCCGUAACAC
rnacentral:rRNA from 1 species